GGGGCGGUAGCUCAGCUGGGAGAGCACCUGCUUUGCAAGCAGGGGGUCGUGGGUUCGAGCCCCAUCCGCUCCA
rnacentral:tRNA from 1 species